AGCUCCAAUAGCGUAUAUUAAAGUUGUUGCAGUUAAAAAGCUCGUAGUUGAACUUUGGGUCUACCUGGCCGGUCCGAUUUUUUCGUGUACUGGAAUUCGGGUGGACCUUUCCUUCUGGCUAACCUUGGAUCCUUGUGGUCCUUGGCGAACCAGGAUUUUUACUUUGAAAAAAUUAGAGUGUUCAAAGCAGGCGUAUUGCUCGAAUAUAUUAGCAUGGAAUAAUGGAAUAGGACGUUUGGUUCUAUUUUGUUGGUUUCUAGGACCAUCGUAAUGAUUAAUAGGGACGGUCGGGGGCAUCAGUAUUCAAUUGUCAGAGGUGAAAUUCUUGGAUUUAUUGAAGACUAACUACUGCGAAAGCAUUUGCCAAGGACGUUUUCA
rnacentral:rRNA from 1 species